rnacentral:rRNA from 1 species
GGGGAAUUUUGGACAAUGGGCGCAAGCCUGAUCCAGCCAUGCCGCGUGCAGGAUGAAGGCCUUCGGGUUGUAAACUGCUUUUGUACGGAACGAAAAGACUCUUUCUAAUAAAGAGGGUCCAUGACGGUACCGUAAGAAUAAGCACCGGCUAACUACGUGCCAGCAGCCGCGGUAAUACGUAGGGUGCGAGCGUUAAUCGGAAUUACUGGGCGUAAAGCGUGCGCAGGCGGUGAUGUAAGACAGAUGUGAAAUCCCCGGGCUCAACCUGGGAACUGCAUUUGUGACUGCAUCGCUGGAGUGCGGCAGAGGGGGAUGGAAUUCCGCGUGUAGCAGUGAAAUGCGUAGAUAUGCGGAGGAACACCGAUGGCGAAGGCAAUCCCCUGGGCCUGCACUGACGCUCAUGCACGAAAGCGUGGGGAGCAAACA